rnacentral:rRNA from 1 species
AGCGAACGCUGGCGGCAGGCCUAACACAUGCAAGUCGAACGAACUCUUCGGAGUUAGUGGCGGACGGGUGAGUAACACGUGGGAACGUGCCUUUAGGUUCGGAAUAACUCAGGGAAACUUGUGCUAAUACCGAAUGUGCCCUUCGGGGGAAAGAUUUAUCGCCUUUAGAGCGGCCCGCGUCUGAUUAGCUAGUUGGUGAGGUAAAGGCUCACCAAGGCGACGAUCAGUAGCUGGUCUGAGAGGAUGAUCAGCCACAUUGGGACUGAGACACGGCCCAAACUCCUACGGGAGGCAGCAGUGGGGAAUCUUGCGCAAUGGGCGAAAGCCUGACGCAGCCAUGCCGCGUGAAUGAUGAAGGUCUUAGGAUUGUAAAUUCUUUCACCGGGGACGAUAAUGACGGUACCCGGAGAAGAAGCCCG